UACGGGGGGGGCAAGCGUUGUUCGGAAUUACUGGGCGUAAAGGGCUCGUAGGUGGCCAACUAAGUCAGACGUGAAAUCCCUCAGCUUAACUGGGGAACUGCGUCUGAUACUGGAUGGCUUGAGUUUGGGAGAGGGAUGCGGAAUUCCAGGUGUAGCGGUGAAAUGCGUAGAUAUCAAGAGGAACACCUGCGGCGAAGGCGGGUUGCUGGGCCGACACUGACGCUGAUGCGCGAAAGCUAGGGGAGCGAACAGG
rnacentral:rRNA from 1 species